ensembl:lncRNA
CCUGUUUGCAAAAGUUGUUUAUCUGCUAAAAAAAAAAAGGGUUGCCAUUUGAAAUUGCGAUUUUCUUAUAAUUGCUAUAUUUCAGCAAUGGCCUCACAAAGUGGAUCUCUUGUUUCAUAGACUGCUAUCUGUUCUCCAAAGUGCACACAAUGAAGAUACAGAUCAUCUUGGAACAAAAGAAGAUUUUCUGCUGUUCAGUUAUUGCCCUCAACACUGGAGGAAAGAUGAGCUGUAUUAUCAAAUGCUAAAAUAAGCCUUUCUAUUUUUUUUAUUUGCAAAGUAUUUUUUAGUGGACCAGAAACUGAAUCGCAUCAAAUCUGAUUGGGUGACUACAAGUAUUGUGAUCUGAGUAGGUGCUUUGCCAGUUGAUGGAUCUGAUUGCAGGACAAAAUCACUUUUAAGUCAGUUGUUCUUUUGGAAUAAUCACUCCCAUUUUUCAUGCACCUCUGAAUCUCGAUGCAUCACAACUCUGAAACAAAAAGCGACAUGAUGAAUACUUGCUAAGGAUUUUUUUUCACCACAUCCUCGGGAAUGACACCAAAACAACGGAGCACUUUCGAUAACUCCUCUGUUUCCAGACUUCCUGCUGUGGAGCAGGAAAUGUUCCAGCUGCCCACGACCAAAGUGUAUGCUGAAGUUUCACUGACAGACCACACAAAGGCUGAAGCCACAGACACAGACCGAUUUUACUUUCUCCAUCAGCAUCUUAUCCUGCUGUUCUAAGUGCAUGUGUUUGCAUCAGGAGGAUCACAGACACAUGGGAAAUGAUUGGAUAAUGAUAUAGAUAGGGGGAAAACGCCUCUAGAUCUCUCUCAUCUUCAUGGCAUUGUACAGGACAGAGAGAGGCUCCAAAGUGACUGGACUGAAAGGUGUCUCACCCCCUGUGAUCCAAAUUAUGGAGUGCGCUGAUGAAGGCAAGAGUCUAACAAAGCCGGCUGAGCUGCAGAAACACAGAUAUCUAGCUGUUAUCAAGCCGACUAUAAGAAAUAUCAAAAAGUGGAUACAUGCACACACAGUUUUAGAAGAAACACUUCUGUAUUUCUAUUUCACUUUUACUGGUUUUAUAACUGAUGUAGACUUUCAGAUACAGUACAAGACGAGCUGUAAAUACACAUUUCAACCCA